GGAUGGCUGAGUCGGUAAAGCAUGAGACUCUUAUUCUCGGGAGUCGUGGCUUCAAGGCCCACACUGAGCAACA